UACGUAGGGGGCAAGCGUUGUCCGGAUUCAUUGGGCGUAAAGAGCGUGUAGGCGGCCAGACAGGUCCGUUGUGAAAACUCGAGGCUCAACCUCGAGACGUCGAUGGAAACCGUCGGGCUAGAGUCCGGAAGAGGAGAGUGGAAUUCCUGGUGUAGCGGUGAAAUGCGCAGAUAUCAGGAGGAACACCCGUGGCGAAAGCGGCUCUCUGGGACGGUACUGACGCUGAGACGCGAAAGCGUGGGGAGCGAACAGG
rnacentral:rRNA from 1 species